rnacentral:rRNA from 1 species
AGAUUGAACGCUGGCGGCAUGCCUUACACAUGCAAGUCGAACGGCAGCACGGGGGCAACCCUGGUGGCGAGUGGCGAACGGGUGAGUAAUGCAUCGGAACGUGCCCAGUAGUGGGGGAUAACUAGUCGAAAGAUUAGCUAGUACCGCAUACGACCUAAGGGUGAAAGCGGGGGAUUCGCAAGAACCUCGCGCUAUCGGAGCGGCCGAUGUCUGAUUAGCUAGUUGGCGGGUAAAAGCCCACCAAGGCUUCGAUCAGUAGCUGGUCUGAGAGGACGACCAGCCACACUGGGACUGAGACACGGCCCAGACUCCUACGGGAGGCAGCAGUGGGAAUUUUGGACAAUGGGCGCAAGCCUGAUCCAGCCAUGCCGCGUGCGGGAAGAAGGCCUUCGGUUGUAAACCGCUUUUGGCAGGAACGAAACGGCGCGAGCGAAUAUCUCGCGUUAAUGACGGUACCUGCAGAAUAAGCACCGGCUAACUACGUGCCAGCAGCCG